rnacentral:rRNA from 1 species
UACGAAGGGGGCUAGCGUUGUUCGGAAUUACUGGGCGUAAAGCGCACGUAGGCGGAUUUGUAAGUCAGGGGUGAAAUCCCGGGGGCUCAACCUCGGAACUGCCUUUGAUACUGCAAGUCUUGAGUCCGGAAGAGGUGAGUGGAAUUCCUAGUGUAGAGGUGAAAUUCGUAGAUAUUAGGAAGAACACCAGUGGCGAAGGCGGCUCACUGGCCCGGUACUGACGCUGAGGCGCGAAAGCGUGGGGAGCAAACAGG